UUCCGCGUUCAGUGGUCAAUUAUAAUUAGUGUACAAAAUGACUCUUCGCUUGGCUCGACUCUUUAAGCUACCUGGACCCGCAGUGUGACUUAUAAAACAGCUCCGCCAGUAGCACUCACAUAGCGAGUCCAGGCGGUCUAAUCCGCUAUAAGUAGAGGACCCGUCCUUAACAGAUCUUUCAAUGGCACAGCUAAAAGCGCUUUAGCUUUGCUCAAUACCGGUAUGCGACGCUCCCCGACCCGACCCCCGUUACCCCCUUACUGGGGUAACGGGGGUCGGGUCGGGUCGGGUAACGGGAAUCACGGCAAAGAGAGUAAGGCGCUUUAGCAAAUUAAUGCAAGCGCUUUAGAUUAUUAACAGCCAAGCCAAAGCAGCUAUAGCUGCGCUCUUUUGCGUACGCAUAUUUUUAUAGAAC
rnacentral:lncRNA from 1 species